rnacentral:rRNA from 1 species
ACGCGCGGAACCUUACCAGGUCUUGACAUCCUCUGACACUCCUAGAGAUAGGACGUUCCCCUUCGGGGGACAGAGUGACAGGUGGUGCAUGGUUGUCGUCAGCUCGUGUCGUGAGAUGUUGGGUUAAGUCCCGCAACGAGCGCAACCCUUGAUCUUAGUUGCCAGCAUUAAGUUGGGCACUCUAAGGUGACUGCCGGUGACAAACCGGAGGAAGGUGGGGAUGACGUCAAAUCAUCAUGCCCCUUAUGACCUGGGCUACACACGUGCUACAAUGGACGGUACAAACGGUUGCCAACCCGCGAGGGGGAGCUAAUCCGAUAAAACCGUUCUCAGUUCGGAUUGUAGGCUGCAACUCGCCUACAUGAAGCCGGAAUCGCUAGUAAUCGCGGAUCAGCAUGCCGCGGUGAAUACGUUCCCGGGCCUUGUACACACCGCCCGU